rnacentral:rRNA from 1 species
CGUAGGGGGCAAGCGUUGUCCGGAAUCAUUGGGCGUAAAGCGCGUGUAGGCGGCUUGAUAAGUCUGCUCUGAAAGCCCGGGGCUCAACCCUGGGAGGCGGGUGGAUACUGUCGAGCUCGAGUCCGGAAGAGGCGAGUGGAAUUCCUGGUGUAGCGGUGAAAUGCGCAGAUAUCAGGAGGAACACCAAUGGCGAAGGCAGCUCGCUGGGACGGUACUGACGCUGAGACGCGAAAGCUAGGGGAGCAAACGGG